rfam:Fusarium poae strain 2516 chromosome FPOA_4 Chr4, whole genome shotgun sequence.
ACAUACGACCAAAGCUCGAAGAGAAUACGGGAUCCCGUCCGCUCUCCCAUAGUCAAGCUUCGAAGCGCCGGAUUAGUAGUUGGGUCGGUGACGACCAGCGAAUCCCCGGUGUUGUAUGUC